ensembl:lncRNA
CCGUACCUCAACCCACGUCUUUACCUUGCUGUACCUCAACCCACGUCUUUACCUUCCCGUACCUCAACCCACGUCUUUACCUUCCCGUACCUCAACCCACGUCUUUACCUUCCCGUACCUCAACCCACGUCUUUACAUUACCGUACCUCAACCCACGUCUUUACCUUCCCGUACCUCAACCCACGUCUUUACCUUGCUGUACCUCAACCCACGUCUUUACUUUCCCGUACCUCAACCCACGUCUUUACCUUCCCGUACCUCAACCCACGUCUUUACCUUCCCGUACCACAACCCACGUCUUUACCUUCCCGUACCUCAACCCACGUCUUUACCUUACCGUACCUCAACCCACGUCUAUACCUUCCCGUACCUCAACCCACGUCUUUACCUUCCAUUAACCUCAACCCACGUCUUUACCUUCCCGUACCUCAACCCACGUCUUUAACUUCCGUACCUCAACCCACGUCUUUAACUCCCAUACCUCAACCCACGUCUUUACCUUACCGUACCUCAACCCACGUCUUUACCUUCCCGGACCUCAACCACGCUUCAUCCCGCUGCACUACACACAAUACCACAACGUAUAAACGCAAUAUAUAGAUUGAACAAUCACCUUAUUUUCGUCUGAUACGGCCAAAGAAGCAAAAGUCUCAGCUUCAGGCAAUGUUUUAAUCGGUAAUUGUUGUUUUUGGGAAUUUGGAAUGGUGAAUGUUUUUGUUCUUUGUGUUCUAUUUCUAUGAUGUGCUGAAUGUCACAGGUGUCCCACCACAGCACCUGCUCACUGCCUUACAGAACUGGCACCACCAUUCCAAACCGGCGCGGUACAAGGGGUGCGCCCCACAAACUCUCCGUACGACAGGUCCGUAGAACCCAGGUCGGAAGCAGUUCCCACAUAGGGUUAGAUGGUUGCUUAGCCCGGCCACAAGACAGCAGGUUAACUUGGGGAGAAUGUGUCCCCUUCAACGCGCCCUCCUCCGUUCCAGAAUGACGCUAACCGCUGGGUCCACAAACGCACGACGGUUCAAAGUUCGCCCCCCCUGACUUCCCCGCCCCUCCGCUGUUAAUCUGUUAACGUGUCUCACUCAACAACCUCAUCGUCCCCAAGCACCUCGUCAGCCUCAUCAUCCAACUACCUCAUCCCUGCACCUCUUCAUCCUCAACACUAUAACACUUCAUCCUCUUACCCUCUGAUUUCUGAACAACCUCCACCUGCAUCCCCCUUUCCCCCUUUCUAGUCCACGCCAACCAUACAUACAGAAAGCUUUCCUGCGACAACGAAAAUAAAAAAUAUUUAAAUUCUAGAAUCCAGUGUAUCACAUGAUUUACACAUUCUAGAAUUGGAGUAGAGACCCCUCAAUUCCCAAACUCCCCCCUCAAACACCUUAAACAUACCCCCCCCCCCCCCCCCCCCCCCCCCCCCCCCCCCCCCCCCCCCCCCCCGGCUCUCCUCCCCUCUCUACCCCUCAUCCCCUGCCCCCUCCCUCUCAUCCCUACCAAUAUUGAUGUUCGGUGUCAAAUCACAAUAAGGGUCUAAAAUCACCACUGUCAUGUUUGGGUCUUUCUUCCUUUCUUUGUCUUUUGUUUUGGGAAACGGAACUGGAGACAUCUGAAAUUGGUGGAUUUCAACGGUCGAGAAUAAUGUAGCAACUCUGUCACCAUCUGUAGAUUGUUUUGUUGAAAACAAAAAAAAAAAAAAUGUAAAGGAAUUGGUUUGUUUGCCAUCAUGAAGACUUCUUUUAGCCUGGCGUACCGGACCUGAUUUGUGCGAACAUUCCACUCUCUCUUUACCAUUCUUUGGCAUGACAAGAAGUGGAUUGUUGGCCCAAACUUUCUGGCACCCAUGCUACUCUUGUUUGGCUGUUGUUGUUUCGUUUUUGUCGUGAUUCUUAGUAAUAGAACUGUUGUUUAUCACGCUGCACUGAGAGGCCUCGCACCAAACACACAAACUAGCACACACACAAACCACCAAACACACACACACACACAACCAGAAACGCCCAAAACUCAUGAAAACACACCGAGACAUACACACUGACAAACCUGUGACUAAUACCAACGACUAGUGUCAGAAUAGACAAUGUUUGCCAGAAUAAUCAGUCAUACAAUAGUGCACUACUUUUGACCCAGGUCUUUAGGGAAUUGGGUACCGUUGGGGAUUGUCUACAAAAAAAAUACGUCCCAAACCUCCCGUCCAAGCUCACUGGUAGGGAACCAUCUACACUCCCUAGUUCCCUGCUGUCUAGGAUGCACGCGCCAAACCGAUCGAUUCUAAGGGACGUGAGCGAGAGUCAAGCUGUGGGAGAGGCAGCGAUGUCAUAACGAAUCAGGUGCCAAAAUUCAAACACUGUCGUCACCUUUCUUCCCGAAACCGGUGGCAGAAGGUCCCGUGGCUGAGGGAACAUCAGCGUGUGUGGAGACUGGGAGGAUCGGAAGGGCCACUUCAGUGUAGUUAUGUUAUUGUUGAUAUUCACAUCUGGGUUUUAGUUUUGUAUCAUGUAGAAAUAGUUAUGAACUGGACGUUUUUUUUAUAUAUAUAUAUAUAUAUGUGUAUAUGAAUAUAAUGCUGUAAACUGCAUACAUGAAUUAAGAGAUUUCUCUUUCACAUCAGUACAAUAAAGAUGGAACGGAAACAUUAAA